GUCAGGAUGGCCGAGCGGUCUAAGGCCACAGGUCACACAGCGUUCAGGUCACAGUCUCCGCUGGAGGCGUGGGUUCAAAUCCCGCUUCUGACA